rnacentral:rRNA from 1 species
CGCUGGCGGCGUGCCUAAUACAUGCAAGUCGAGCGGAAUGAUGAAGAAGCUUGCUUCUUCUGAUUUUAGCGGCGGACGGGUGAGUAACACGUGGGCAACCUACCUUGUAGAUUGGGAUAACUCCGGGAAACCGGGGCUAAUACCGAAUAAUCCAUUUUGCUUCAUGGCGAGAUGUUGAAAGACGGUUUCGGCUGUCACUACAAGAUGGGCCCGCGGCGCAUUAGCUAGUUGGUAGGGUAACGGCCUACCAAGGCGACGAUGCGUAGCCGACCUGAGAGGGUGAUCGGCCACACUGGGACUGAGACACGGCCCAGACUCCUACGGGAGGCAGCAGUAGGGAAUCUUCCACAAUGGACGAAAGUCUGAUGGAGCAACGCCGCGUGAGUGAAGAAGGUUUUCGGAUCGUAAAACUCUGUUGUAAGGGAAGAACACGUACGAGAGUAACUGCUCGUACCUUGACGGUACCUUAUUAGAAAGCCACGGCUAACUACGUG